UGUUGAAUCACAAAUUUUACACCAUAUAAAACCCCUCUCUCUGUCCAAAAUAUCCUUCUAAUUUAGCCUUGAAAUAUUCAUUAUGCUUAUAAAGUUGUAAGCAUUUUCCACUCCAUAGGGAUAAUAAGAUAAGGUAACAUCCUUCUAGUUCAAUUGCUACAGUUAGUAUAAUCUACCAACCAUGCUUUCAGCUAAAGAAUGGCAUCAGGUAAAAGUUUCUUAUUGAAAACAUAUAGAAAAGAAAAGAAUUAGUUCUAGUUCAAUUGCUACAGUUAGUAUGGUCUACCAACCA
rnacentral:lncRNA from 1 species